UACGGGGGGGGCAAGCGUUGUUCGGAAUUACUGGGCGUAAAGGGCUCGUAGGCGGCCAACUAAGUCAGACGUGAAAUCCCCAGGCUCAACCUGGGAACUGCGUCUGAUACUGGAUGGCUUGAAUCCGGGAGAGGGAUGCAGAAUUCCGGGUGUAGCGGUGAAAUGCGUAGAUAUCUGGAGGAAUACCGGUGGCGAAGGCGGCAUCCUGGACCGGCAUUGACGCUGAGGAGCGAAAGCCAGGGGAGCAAACGGG
rnacentral:rRNA from 1 species